rnacentral:misc_RNA from 1 species
UGAAAGGCGAAACGUAAUGUGAAUCGCAACUAACAGUGAAUCAUCGAAUCUUUGAACGCAGACCGCACUUUUCGGUGUUACUUGUAAUACCGAAAAGUAUCUACGUAUGAGUGUCAGCCAAAUAUCCUUUUGGUUCAUGAGGGAAGCAUGGUAAUGCCACGCUCAACUCGUGAAUACACACGUGUCUUGCGACAUCACUUGAAGCUGUGACCGUGUCUGGCCUCAUAUGUGGAAGAUUACCCGUUGGAUUUAAGC